rnacentral:rRNA from 1 species
UCCAUGCUGGACCAUGUCUAAAUUGUAAUGAUCCACAGUCCUUUGAUGGAGUAUCAGAGAGGGUAAUAAUCCCGUCUUUGGCAUGGACUUUUUGCCAGUGUUUUCUGUGAUGCACUCUCUCAGAGUCGAGUAGUUUGGGAAUGCUGCUCUAAUGGGAGGUAAACUCCUUCUAAAGCUAAAUAUUGGCGAGAGACCGAUAGCGAACAAGUACCGUGAGGGAAAGAUGAAAAGAACUCUGAAAAGAGAGUCAAAUAGAACGUGAAAUUGCUGAAAGGGAAGCAUUUGGAGUCAGACACAUCUUCAUGGAACACACACCUCAGUAGGGUAGGGGCUGAGAGGGUGUAAGCUUGAGGAUGGGCCAGUCCUCACAAAGACCAUUGAAGAAGGGGUCAUGGAAUGUAGCUCAGUCCUGAGUGAUUAUAGCCUUGAUUCAGAAGCAAUGUGUGUCUCUGUGGGUUGAACAGCAUGAUGAGUGUUUGGCUCUCUGUGCUUGAUUUUGACUGGCAUAAUGGCUCUAAGUGACCCGUCUUG